UACGGGGGGGGCAAGCGUUGUUCGGAAUUACUGGGCGUAAAGGGCUCGUAGGUGGCCAACUAAGUCAUACGUGAAAUCCCUCGGCUUAACCGGGGAACUGCGUCUGAUACUGGAUGGCUUGAGGUUGGGAGAGGGAUGCGGAAUUCCAGGUGUAGCGGUGAAAUGCGUAGAUAUCUGGAGGAACACCGGUGGCGAAGGCGAGUCUCUGGACGACUCCUGACACUGAGGCACGAAAGCCAGGGGAGCAAACAGG
rnacentral:rRNA from 1 species